GGUGAUGUAACUCAGUGGGUAGAGUGCUUACCUAACAUGCCCAAAGCUCUGGGUUUGAUUCUCAGCAUCACUU
rnacentral:tRNA from 1 species